rnacentral:rRNA from 1 species
UACGGAGGGUGCAAGCGUUAAUCGGAAUUACUGGGCGUAAAGCGCGCGUAGGCGGCCAUGUAAGUCGGGUGUGAAAUCCCCGGGCUCAACCUGGGAAUUGCAUUCGAUACUGCACGGCUGGAGUAUGGUAGAGGGUAGUGGAAUUCCGGGUGUAGCGGUGAAAUGCGUAGAUAUCCGGAGGAACACCAGUGGCGAAGGCGGCUACCUGGACCAAUACUGACGCUGAGGCGCGAAAGCGUGGGGAGCAAACAGG